rnacentral:rRNA from 1 species
CAGUCGAACGGUAACAUUUCUAGCUUGCUAGAAGAUGACGAGUGGCGGACGGGUGAGUAAUACUUAGGAAUAUGCCUUUGUGUGGGGGAUAACUAUUGGAAACGAUAGCUAAUACCGCAUAACGUCUUCGGACCAAAGGGGGCUUCGGCUCCCGCGCAAAGAGUAGCCUAAGCGAGAUUAGCUUGUUGGUGAGGUAAAGGCUCACCAAGGCGACGAUCUCUAGCUGUUCUGAGAGGAAGAUCAGCCACACUGGAACUGAGACACGGUCCAGACUCCUACGGGAGGCAGCAGUGGGGAAUAUUGCACAAUGGGGGAAACCCUGAUGCAGCCAUGCCGCGUGUGUGAAGAAGGCCUUCGGGUUGUAAAGCACUUUCAGUUGUGAGGAAAGGUUAACGGUUAAUACCCGUUAGCUGUGACGUUAGCAACAGAAGAAGGACCGGCUAACUCCGUGCCAGCAGCCGCGGUAAUACGGAGGGUCCGAGCGUUAAUCGGAAUUACUGGGCGUAAAGCGCACGCAGGCGGUUUGUUAAGCUAGAUGUGAAAGCCCUGGGCUCAACCUGGGAAUUGCAUUUAGAACUGGCAGGCUAGAGUUUUGGAGAGGGGAGUGGAAUUCCAGGUGUAGCGGUGAAAUGCGUAGAUAUCUGGAGGAACAUCAGUGGCGAAGGCGACUCCCUGGUCAGUAACUGACGCUCAUGUGCGAAAGUGUGGGUAGCGAACAGGAUUAGAUACCCUGGUAGUCCACACCGUAAACGCUGUCUACUAGCUGUUUGUGGAUUUAAUCCGUGAGUAGCGAAGCUAACGCGAUAAGUAGACCGCCUGGGGAGUACGGCCGCAAG